CCGGGCUAAUUUUGUAUUUUUAGUAGAGAUGGUGUUUCACCACGUUGGUCAAGCUGGUCUUGAACUCCUGACCUCAGGUGAUCCGCCUGCCUCGGCCUCCCGAAGUGCUGGGACUACAGGCGUGAGCCACCGCGCCCGGCCCCAGUUGAAUGGUCUUAAUGGCUCUUUUUGCAAUUCUAGAACCAGGCACAGAUCAUUCUAUAAAACAGAACGAGGGCUCUGGCGUGCUGGGUAGAGGAGGUUGGUUUUGUAGACAGAAAGGGGCUGAGGAAGCAGACACAGAACAAAAAGCAGAUCGGUCAUUUCCAAGAGGUUUUCCUUGGAAGGUUCCAGCAGAGGGGACUUCCUCAUCAUGCCGGCAAGACCUGGCUUGUUUGGGGCUAUUCUCUGUCUCCUGGUUUCCUGGAAGGUGAGAUGAACAAGUUAGUUUUGGCUUGAUGACGUGGAGCUCUAGCACGAGUGGCUGCGUUUUGGUCUGUUCUGCCAGGCCUCCUGCAGGAGCUCAGGCCAGACCAGUGGCCUCCUACGAAUUUUAUCAAACGCGACUCAGACGAUGCCGUUCAGGCAAGGUUGAGAACCAAGCCCAGCACUGCCUGGUCCAGCCCCUGGGAAGGAAGGCAGGGCCGGGAGCCCCUCCUGCCGCCAGCAGCGACCCUGUCUCGGAAGGUUGUCUUUUCAGGGACGCUUGUACAGCAGACAGCCUUGGAAGAAAGAGAGAGAGUCUCACUCAGGAGCUCAGGACAGCUUACCUUCACAGGUGCAGAUGAAGGACAGAACUCAAAGCCAUCCCUCUGCUCCCCUGAGACAAACGCAUAUCUGACUGCUUCCUCGGCCCUGUUGUCUCACUGAGCCAGACUAAGGCACACGUGGCCCUUCCCCUACCCCCUCUCACAUGUGGAUUGUGUAUUCAGUGAAAGGCUGAUCAGAGACUCAUAGAAUGCAACCAUCUAUUGCUUAUCAACAUUAACUGGAAGCCGCUGCUUCGAGUUGUCUCAAGUUGUCCUGCCUUUCUAGACCAAACCAAUGUACAUCUUACAUAUGUAUAUAUUUUAAUAUUUAUUUAUUUAUUUUGAGUUGGAGUCUUGCUCUGUUGCCCAGGCUGGAGUGCAAUGGUGUGAUCUUGGCUCACUACAACCUCCAUCUCCCAGGUUCAAGCGAUUCUCC
rnacentral:lncRNA from 1 species